rnacentral:rRNA from 1 species
GAUGAACGCUGGCGGCGUGCCUAAUACAUGCAAGUCGAGCGAACAGACGAGGAGCUUGCUCCUCUGACGUUAGCGGCGGACGGGUGAGUAACACGUGGAUAACCUACCUAUAAAACUGGGAUAACUUCGGGAAACCGGAGCUAAUACCGGAUAAUAUAUUGAACCGCAUGGUUCAAUAGUGAAAGACGGUUUUGCUGUCACUUAUAGAUGGAUCCGCGCCGCAUUAGCUAGUUGGUAAGGUAACGGCUUACCAAGGCAACGAUGCGUAGCCGACCUGAGAGGGUGAUCGGCCACACUGGAACUGAGACACGGUCCAGACUCCUACGGGAGGCAGCAGUAGGGAAUCUUCCGCAAUGGGCGAAAGCCUGACGGAGCAACGCCGCGUGAGUGAUGAAGGUCUUCGGAUCGUAAAACUCUGUUAUUAGGGAAGAACAAAUGUGUAAGUAACUAUGCACGUCUUGACGGUACCUAAUCAGAAAGCCACAGCUAACUACGUG